CAGAAAGCUGCAAGAUGAGGUCUUUUGUACUGCAGAGGGAAGCUUUGAAGAAUCCCAGUGAUGUCUGAGUCCCUGAAACUUGUGCCACACAAGAGCACAGCUUGCAGUCACUGAGGAAUACAGCCGUGGAAGCAUUUUCUUGGGACUUUUUCUCAUAACAAAACCACGGCAUUUCCUGCUGCAUUCCCUGAGAUAAGAGCAUAUGGAUCUGAGAGAAAUGAAGGGGAAGUAAAAGAACUGCAGCUGAUGUAUUUGUCCUCUACUGAUGGAAGUCAAGAAAGUUUAUCCAGUAACACUUCAAGCAUUUGGGAGUGCAAACAAAAAAGUGAACUGCUGUCUUCAAAUACCACUACUUUUUUCUUUUGGCAGUUAGCAGGUUUAGAAAAGCCUCUGUGAUUCUCAGCUAGAAGUAAAGUUUCAUGUGCGUUAUAUUAAGU
rnacentral:lncRNA from 1 species